AAGUCGUAACAAGGUUUCCGUAGGUGAACCUGCGGAAGGAUCAUUACCGAGUGCGGGCCCUCGCGGCCCAACCUCCCACCCUUGUCUCUAUACACCUGUUGCUUUGGCGGGCCCACCGGGGCCACCUGGUCGCCGGGGGACGUACGUCCCCGGGCCCGCGCCCGCCGAAGCGCGCUGUGUGAACCCUGAUGAAGAUGGGCUGUCUGAGUACUAUGAAAAUUGUCAAAACUUUCAACAAUGGAUCUCUUGGUUCCG
rnacentral:misc_RNA from 1 species